GUUCUGCAAAGGAUGAGUCAAAAAUAGUUUCUGCUGACUCAGUCGAUGUCGAUUUCGAACUUGAUUGCACGGAAGAUUUCCGCUUUGACGAGUACCGGCCACCAUUGCCUGAAGGGGGUUACCCAAAACGACGAAGAUUCACUCA
rnacentral:rRNA from 1 species